rnacentral:rRNA from 1 species
CCUGGAAACGGGGUCUAAUACCGGAUACGACCGCGCAUCGCAUGGUGUGUGGUGGAAAGCUCCGGCGGUAUGGGAUGAACCCGCGGCCUAUCAGCUUGUUGGUGGGGUAAAAGCCUACCAAGGCGACGACGGGUAGCCGGCCUGAGAGGGCGACCGGCCACACUGGGACUGAGACACGGCCCAGACUCCUACGGGAGGCAGCAGUGGGGAAUAUUGCACAAUGGGCGCAAGCCUGAUGCAGCGACGCCGCGUGGGGGAUGACGGCCUUCGGGUUGUAAACCUCUUUCGACAGGGACGAAGGGCAACUGACGGUACCUGUAGAAGAAGCACCGGCUAACUACGUGCCAGCAGCCGCGGUAAUACGUAGGGCGCGAGCGUUGUCCGGAAUUAUUGGGCGUAAAGAGCUCGUAAGCGGU